rnacentral:lncRNA from 1 species
CACACCAUAAUGGUCCCACCGGCGGCCAGCCCUACGCCACGGUGAGUGGACACGUGGCGGGCAUUAGUUGACCUAGGGAUAUCCGCCACCAUAACUGUGCCAGGUCCCGUCGCUUAUUUAAAUCCCCUCCUUCCUUCUAGGGACUUCAUUUCGUCUGAGAGCCCAGACGACGCCCUUCUUCUGCCUGAGAAUUUAGCCACCCAUCGACGCCC